AAAGCGAUGUUAAAGAAAUGGGUAGAGGUGAGGAAGCCUUGUCAAUGUUGAUGAGCGUGGUAUUUAGGAGGAGCAUUAUAAUGAUUCAACAAGUUGCAUAUUUUUGGAUGGGCAUGCUUUCAAUUCUAAAUUCCACACCACCAUUUUCAUUUAAUUACACAAAUUCUAGGUGGGAGUGGGACGAUCCCAUGUCAUCUCGCCAACAUCGGUAGCUAGGUAAUUACCAUUAUUAUUAUUAUUAUUAUUAUUAUUAUAUAUAUAUAUAUAUAUCAACUCAUCAGACGUACGUUUGGUUUUCAUAUUCUUGUUUUUUAGUUGGAAGAUCCUUCCCAGGCUACUUCUUUUGAUUGUUUCGGAAUAAUAUUCUUCAGUCUUUUGACUGAUUACCAAUAAUAAUAAUAAUAAUAAAAAUAAAAAUAAUAAUAGUAUUGGUGAUGCUAUUCUUAGUUAUGUUUGUACGUGUUAAUUACUUCAAAUUGAUUUAAUAUAGUUUUAACAUAUUUGAAUUUAUCCCAGCAUUUCAGAUUUGAGGUUGUUUUCAGAAAUCUCUAUGAUUUCAUUUGACUUGGGAUAUAUAAAAAAUAAACUAGAUGGAUGGUUGGAUGGAUUUCCAAGUGUGGAUUUUUAGCUUAUAUGAUUUGAUUGAUAAAUUAAG
rnacentral:lncRNA from 1 species